rnacentral:rRNA from 1 species
GACGAACGCUGGCGGCGUGCCUAAUACAUGCAAGUCGAACGCUUCUUUUUCCACCGGAGCUUGCUCCACCGGAAAAAGAGGAGUGGCGAACGGGUGAGUAACACGUGGGUAACCUGCCCAUCAGAAGGGGAUAACACUUGGAAACAGGUGCUAAUACCGUAUAACAAUCAAAACCGCAUGGUUUUGAUUUGAAAGGCGCUUUCGGGUGUCGCUGAUGGAUGGACCCGCGGUGCAUUAGCUAGUUGGUGAGGUAACGGCUCACCAAGGCCACGAUGCAUAGCCGACCUGAGAGGGUGAUCGGCCACAUUGGGACUGAGACACGGCCCAAACUCCUACGGGAGGCAGCAGUAGGGAAUCUUCGGCAAUGGACGAAAGUCUGACCGAGCAACGCCGCGUGAGUGAAGAAGGUUUUCGGAUCGUAAAACUCUGUUGUUAGAGAAGAACAAGGAUGAGAGUAACUGUUCAUCCCUUGACGGUAUCUAACCAGAAAGCCACGGCUAACUACGUGCCAGCAGCCGCGGUAAUACGUAGGUGGCAAGCGUUGUCCGGAUUUAUUGGGCGUAAAGCGAGCGCAGGCGGUUUCUUAAGUCUGAUGUGAAAGCCCCCGGCUCAACCGGGGAGGGUCAUUGGAAACUGGGAGACUUGAGUGCAGAAGAGGAGAGUGGAAUUCCAUGUGUAGCGGUGAAAUGCGUAGAUAUAUGGAGGAACACCAGUGGCGAAGGCGGCUCUCUGGUCUGUAACUGA